rnacentral:misc_RNA from 1 species
GCAGUAGGUCGUUUCACGUGAACCAGUCAAGUUCGUCCAUUUGUUCGGGGCCGUUUGAAUGAUUGUUUUUCGAUCUCCAAAAACACGCGGAAUUGGUGCCGGUCGAUGGGUGACAACGUUCCGCAUCGGACAAGUUUUAGAUAAAAUCUACGUCAGUGUUGAGAGGUUAAUUGAAUGCAAUCGGAGCUGAUGGAGGACGAAUCUCAUUUGAACUCAAUCCCCGCUGGACAAUCGGCCCAGCAAAGAACACCUUCCCCAUCGCGCUGCAUUGAUUUAAAUGUUUUUAGUUCCUCAAUCAAAUCUGAUUCCUUUUUAAAUACUACCUCUACCAAACAUUCGUUACCGCAUAUUUCGCUCGGAACGUUUAACAUGUCCACAUCCUCGCCAGUUUCUUCUCCUCCGCAGGUGCGGCAAGCAUCUUCGGUAGCGUCAUCAAAUCGUAACGGACUGACUGGACUUCCAAAAGUUGGCCGUCACCGACCAGUUGUGCGUAGCCAGAGUUCGCGGAUCUCGCUCCUGCGCCAGCCUCCGGCUAGUGCUUCUAGCCUCACCAGCGGAAACGAGGAAGAGCAUUUCUCCAUUCCCGAAAGGUACGUCGAGUUUCGUGGCAGGAGUUGCAAUCGUUGUUGGUGGUGGUGGAUCCCAUUGACCGUCAUUACGUCGAUCAUCGUCACUGCUGCCAUCAUCUGGUUAUUCCAACCUUACGGAUUAUUUGGUUACCAAGAAUACUCGAACGCUACGUUGGCGGAAGAGCAGCAGCAAGACGAAGUGUGUACGACUCCUGCUUGCGUCAAAGCGGCAGCACGUCUACUUGCUCGUCUCGAUCCGUCGAUUGAUCCCUGCACGGAUUUUUACCGUUUCUCCUGCGGCCGUUUCCUUGAAACCUACAGCGUCCCAGACGACUCUAAUCAGCUUUCAACCCUGCAGGAAAUGCAAGAUGAAAUGUUGCUGUCUACUCGAAAAGUGCUGGAACAGUCACACGAGGGCGAUGCUAACGUCAACGGAUCCAUCCGGAAAGUCAAAGAUUUCUACGCGUCGUGCAUGAGCCCGCAUUUGGACGAUGCGGAUUUUGGCAACGUCAGCGAGUUGCCACUGUUUGCUUUCCUACAGCCGGGCGAACUAGGCGCUUGGCCGUUGCUCAUGCUCGAGCCCGGCGACCGGCCGCACGAUCAUGCGUCACUCGAGCACCUGAUCGGGACCUUGGCAGCGCUCCAAGUCCAUAGCUUUGUUGACAUUUACGUGACGCAGGACGAGCGGAACUCGUCCCAGUACAUCCUUCAGUUUUUUAAAGGUGAGCCACUGAUGGAAAAAGAUUGGUAUGACGUGAGCAGGAAUGAGACGGCGGCCAGGCAUCUACGCUGCCUUCGCUCUUAUCGCAACCUCAUGGAGGAGACUAUCCUUCUUCUCAGUGGCGGCCGGCGUGAGCCACUUGACGAACUCGACGAUAUGCUGGCCUUUGAGGCUCGCUUUGCAAAAAUUUCCAGUACCUUCUGCGCUGAUGGUGACAUGAUUUCGGACCCGACCAACGACUCGAAUCGCACUACGAGUAACAAUGAAGAUCUGGAGAAUGCUGCCUUCCAUCACGAUACCAUCGUUGAUCAUCGCUUGAAUCUCUCCGACAUGGAAACCCAAUUUCCUGCGAUCAAUUGGACAGCAGCGGUGGAGACUCUUCUUCGAGCGACUGGCUUAAGCGAUAAAGAUCGGGCAGCUUUGCUGUUGUCUGACAUGCCCGUUAGUCUGCAGUGUCGUGACUUCCUACCCGAACUGAGCAACCUCCUCACCACUACACCAUCCAGAACCGUUACAAACUAUUUGAUAUGGCGAUUCAUCUUCAAAUCGAUGCCACUCAUCACCACCCGUUUCCACAAAAUGUGGACCAACUUCAAACAGAGUGUACCGAAUUUGGGGGAGGAGCGCAUUUAUCUUACCAGGUGGAAGCAGUGCGUCGCGCUGGUUAAUGAAGGUUUUGGAUUAGUGGCCGCUCAUCUUUACGUUACCAAAAUGGCCUCAAAUUGGACCAACACUUGGAUAUUGCGGCUAAUCGACGAACUAAAAGAGGCUUUCGGCGCCAGCAUCGCACGCCAAGAGUGGAUCGAAGAGGAGAUGACUCUACGUCUACUAGAGAAAUUGGAGGCAAUGGGCUCCAAGAUUGGCUAUCCCAACAAAAUUCUCAACCUGACUCAGUUGGAUCUCGAUUAUCAGGAGCUGCACAUUGACGGUGGCCAUAUUUUCUUCAACGUCAUGCGCAUGAAACGUCACGAAGUCUGGCGCGAAAUUCAAAAAGUAUUUCAGCCUCCACCACAAGAAAAAGAAUGGCUAGUUCAACCGCUGGUCGUCAAUGCCUUCCACAAUCCAUCGACCAACGAGAUCAGUAAUACUUCCUCUCUGUUUUUCCACUAGGCAUCCUUCGUGAGCCUUUCUUCAACCUAGACCUACCGAGGUACAUGACGUACGGCAAUCUAGGCGUCGUGAUCGGCCAUGAAAUUGUUCACGGUUUCGAUGUCAACGGACGACGGUACGACCGACAUGGCAACAUGACGCAAUGGUGG